rnacentral:rRNA from 1 species
ACGGGUGAGUAACGCGUGGGAAUCUACCCAUCUCUACGGAACAACUCCGGGAAACUGGAGCUAAUACCGUAUACGUCCUUUUGGAGAAAGAUUUAUCGGAGAUGGAUGAGCCCGCGUUGGAUUAGCUAGUUGGUGGGGUAAUGGCCUACCAAGGCGACGAUCCAUAGCUGGUCUGAGAGGAUGAUCAGCCACACUGGGACUGAGACACGGCCCAGACUCCUACGGGAGGCAGCAGUGGGGAAUAUUGGACAAUGGGCGCAAGCCUGAUCCAGCCAUGCCGCGUGAGUGAUGAAGGCCCUAGGGUUGUAAAGCUCUUUCAACGGUGAAGAUAAUGACGGUAACCGUAGAAGAAGCCCCGGCUAACUUCGUGCCAGCAGCCGCGGUAAUACGAAGGGGGCUAGCGUUGUUCGGAAUUACUGGGCGUAAAGCGCACGUAGGCGGAUUGUUAAGUUAGGGGUGAAAUCCCAGGGCUCAACCCUGGAACUGCCUUUAAUACUGGCAAUCUCGAGUCCGAGAGAGGUGAGUGGAAUUCCGAGUGUAGAGGUGAAAUUCGUAGA